rnacentral:rRNA from 1 species
CCCUUAGAUGUCCUGGGCCGCACGCGCGCUACACUGAACGGAUCAGCGCGUUUUCCCUUCCCGAGAGGGACGGGUAACCUGCUGAACCCCGUUCGUGGUAGGGAUCGGGGCUUGCAAUUAUUCCCCGUGAACCAGGAAUGCCCAGUAAGUGCAAGUCAUAAGCUUGCGUUGAUUACGUCCCUGCCCUUUGUACACACCGCCCGUCGCUACUACCGAUUGAACGUUUUAGUGAGGUACUCGGGCUGAGCCUCAGAAGAUUCACGUCUUUUGUGCUGCUCGGGAAGAUUCCCAAACUUGAGCGUUUAGAGGAAGUAAAAGUCGUAACA